rnacentral:pre_miRNA from 1 species
AACUGGAAGAGUGCCAUAAAAUCAUGACAAAGUACGUGAUAUUAUGCACAUUUUCUAGUUCA